rnacentral:rRNA from 1 species
AAAAUAGAUACCCUGGUAGUCCACGCCGUAAACGAUGAGUGCUAGGUCGUUGGGGGGUUCCACCCUCAGGUGCUGAAGUUAACACAUUAAGCACUCCGCCUGGGGAGUACGACCGCAAGGUUGAAACUCAAAGGAAUUGACGGGGGCCCGCACAAGCAGUGGAGCAUGUGGUUUAAUUCGAAGCAACGCGAAGAACCUUACCAGGUCUUGACAUCCUCUGACCACUCUAGAGAUAGAGCUUUCCCCUUCGGGGGACAGAGUGACAGGUGGUGCAUGGUUGUCGUCAGCUCGUGUCGUGAGAUGUUGGGUUAAGUCCCGCAACGAGCGCAACCCUUGACCUUAGUUGCCAGCACUCAGUUGGGCACUCUAAGGUGACUGCCGGUGACAAACCGGAGGAAGGUGGGGAUGACGUCAAAUCAUCAUGCCCCUUAUGACCUGGGCUACACACGUGCUACAAUGGAUGGUACAAAGGGUUGCGAAGCCGCGAGGCCAAGCCAAUCCCAAAAAGCCAUUCUCAGUUCGGAUUGUAGGCUGCAACG